rnacentral:rRNA from 1 species
AUGGUUAAGUUAGAAAGGGCGCACGGUGGAUGCCUUGGCACUAGGAGCCGAAGAAGGACGGGACUAACACCGAUAUGCUUUGGGGAGCUGUACGUAAGCGUUGAUCCAGAGAUUUCCGAAUGGGGGAACCCACUAUCUUUAGUCGGAUAGUAUCCUUACGUGAAUACAUAGCGUAAGGAAGGCAGACCCAGGGAACUGAAACAUCUAAGUACCUGGAGGAAGAGAAAGAAAAAUCGAUUUCCUGAGUAGCGGCGAGCGAAACGGAAAGAGCCCAAACCAAGAAGCUUGCUUCUUGGGGUUGUAGGACACUCUAUACGGAGUUACAAAGGAAUGUGGUAAACGAAGUGGUCUGGAAAGGCCCGCCAAAGAAGGUAACAGCCCUGUAAUUGAAAGCAUAUUCCCUCCAGAGUGGAUCCUGAGUACGGCGGAACACGUGAAAUUCCGUCGGAAUCCGGGAGGACCAUCUCCCAAGGCUAAAUACUCCCUAGUGACCGAUAGUGAACCAGUACCGUGAGGGAAAGGUGAAAAGCACCCCGGAAGGGGAGUGAAACAGUUCCUGAAACCGUGUGCCUACAAGUAGUUAGAGCCCGUUAAUGGGUGAUAGCGUGCCUUUUGUAGAAUGAACCGGCGAGUUACGAUUUGUUGCAAGGUUAAGCGGAAAAAGCGGAGCCGUAGCGAAAGCGAGUCUGAAUAGGGCGCAUGAGUAACAGGUCGUAGACCCGAAACCAGGUGAUCUACCCAUGUCCAGGAUGAAGGUGAGGUAAUACUCACUGGAGGUCCGAACCCACGCACGUUGAAAAGUGCGGGGAUGAGGUGUGGGUAGCGGAGAAAUUCCAAUCGAACCUGGAGAUAGCUGGUUCUCUCCGAAAUAGCUUUAGGGCUAGCCUCGAGGUAAAGAGUCGUGGAGGUAGAGCACUGUUUGGACUAGGGGCCCUUCUCGGGUUACCGAAUUCAGAUAAACUCCGAAUGCCAUGUACUUAUACUCGGGAGUCAGACUGCGAGUGAUAAGAUCCGUAGUCGAAAGGGAAACAGCCCAGACCACCAGUUAAGGUCCCAAAAUAUAUGUUAAGUGGAAAAGGAUGUGGGGUUGCAUAGACAACCAGGAUGUUGGCUUAGAAGCAGCCACCAUUGAAAGAGUGCGUAAUAGCUCACUGGUCGAGUGACCCCGCGCCGAAAAUGUACCGGGGCUAAACAUAUUACCGAAACUGUGGAUGAACCUCUUCGGAGGUUCGUGGUAGGAGAGCGUUCUAAGGGCGGUGAAGUCAGACCGGAAGGACUGGUGGAGCGCUUAGAAGUGAGAAUGCCGGUAUGAGUAGCGAAAGAAGGGUGAGAAUCCCUUCCACCGAAUAUCUAAGGUUUCCUGAGGAAGGCUCGUCCGCUCAGGGUUAGUCGGGACCUAAGCUGAGGCCGAUAGGCGUAGGCGAUGGACAACAGGUAGAUAUUCCUGUACCAGUGCUAGUUGUUUGAGCAAUGGGGUGACACAGAAGGAUAGGGAAUCGCACAGAUGGAAACGUGCGUCCAAGCAGUGAGUGUGAGAAGUAGGCAAAUCCGCUUCU